GCGGCCGCUUCAUGAACUUCAUCAAGGAGGCUCAAUGGGAAGGAUUAACUGGACGAAUUGUUUUCAACAAAACUAGUGGCUUGCGGACGGAUUUUGAUCUGGACAUCAUCAGCCUGAAAGAGGAUGGCCUGGAGAAGGUUGGGGUGUGGAGUCCUGCCGACGGGCUCAACAUCACUGAGAUUGCCAAAGGCCGAGGCCCUAAUGUCACUGACUCUCUGACAAACAGAUCACUCAUUGUCACCACAGUGCUGUUCCCAGGCAAAAGCCUUUCCCACAAGUCACCCCAGCUGUGGUGGGUGCUGUGGCCACACCUCGAGAGCCCAGCAGGUGCUGGGAGCCUGUACACAUGCCGCAUUCUGUAGUGGCCCUUCCGAGAGCCGUCAGCCACUGCCACACCCCCUGCCUGGAAUCACACCCCAUCUUCUCUCUAUUCCCCAACUGAAUAGCACAGCCUUCUCCUGACCCAUUUCAAACCAAGAAGCAACUCUGGGGGCCUCCCAUGGGCUCUCUGCACCUUUAAGCUCACGCGUGGGCAGGAGGACAGACCCAGGCUGCUGG
rnacentral:sRNA from 1 species